GUCUACGGCCAUACCACCCUGAACGCACCCGAUCUUGUCUGAUCUCAGAAGCUAAGCAGGGUCGGGCCUGGUUAGUACUUGGAUGGGAAAUAGUAAAGAAAAAUAUAGCAGCUUGAGAAG
rnacentral:rRNA from 1 species